rnacentral:rRNA from 1 species
ACGACGCUGGCGGCACGCUUAACACAUGCAAGUCGAACGGAGAAUAUUGGUUACUGAGUAUCUUAGUGGCGGACGGGUGAGUACACGUGAGCAACCUGCCUUUGAGAGAGGGAUAGCUUCUGGAAACGGAUGGUAAUACCUCAUAACAUAACGAAGCCGCAUGACUUUGUUAUCAAAGAUUUUAUCACUCAAAGAUGGGCUCGCGUCUGAUUAGAUAGUUGGUGAGGUAACGGCUCACCAAGUCGACGAUCAGUAGCCGGACUGAGAGGUUGAACGGCCACAUUGGGACUGAGACACGGCCCAGACUCCUACGGGAGGCAGCAGUGGGGAAUAUUGCACAAUGGGGGGAAAAACCCCCUGAUGCAGCGAUGCCGCGUGGGGGAAGAAGGUUUUCGGAUUGUAAACUCCUGUCUUAAAGGACGAUAAUGACGGUACUUUAGGAGGAAGCUCCGGCUAACUACGUGCCAGCAGCCGC